AUUGAACGCUGGCGGCAUGCUUUACACAUGCAAGUCGAACGGUAACAGGCCGCAAGGUGCUGACGAGUGGCGAACGGGUGAGUAAUGCAUCGGAACGUGCCCAGUCGUGGGGGAUAACUACUCGAAAGAGUAGCUAAUACCGCAUACGAUCUAUGGAUGAAAGCGGGGGACCGUAAGGCCUCGCGCGAUUGGAGCGUCCGAUGUCAGAUUAGGUAGUUGGUGGGGUAAAGGCUCACCAAGCCAACGAUCUGUAGCUGGUCUGAGAGGACGACCAGCCACACUGGGACUGAGACACGGCCCAGACUCCUACGGGAGGCAGCAGUGGGGAAUUUUGGACAAUGGGCGCAAGCCUGAUCCAGCAAUGCCGCGUGCAGGAAGAAGGCCUUCGGGUUGUAAACUGCUUUUGUACGGAACGAAACGGCUCUGGUUAAUACCCGGGGCUAAUGACGGUACCGUAAGAAUAAGCACCGGCUAACUACGUG
rnacentral:rRNA from 1 species